rnacentral:rRNA from 1 species
CCUACGGGUGGCAGCAGUAGGGAAUCUUCCUCAAUGGGGGAAACCCUGACGCAGCAACGCCGCGUGAGGGAUGAAGGUUUUCGGAUUGUAAACUCCUUUUGUUAGAGAAGAUAAUGUCGGUAUCUAACUACUACCCCCCUGCUACCUUCGUGCCAGCAGCCGCGGUCAUACGGAGUGGGCAAGCGUUCCUCGGAAUGACUGGGCGUAACGGGCGCGGAGGCGGUACAGCAAGUCAGAUGUGAAAUCCGAUGGUUGAACCAUAGAACUGCAUUUGAAACUGUUGAUCUAGAGUAUGGGAGAGGUAGGUGGAAUUCUUGGUGUAGGGGUAAAAUCCGUAGAGAUCAAGAGGAAGACUCAUGGCGAAGGCGACCUGCUAGAACAUAACUGACGCUGAUGCGCGAAAGCGUGGGUAGCAAACAGGAUUAGAUACCCUAGUAGUC